GUAGUAGUCCUGCACUACGCACGCCCCUUCACUCAGUACAAGUUGUAACUUGUAUAAGAAGAUUGUACAAGUUACAAAACAGUGGAAGAAUUUAAUUUAUAAAAAUGAAAAGUAUAGUAGUUGAUUAAUUAAAUUAGACACUAUGGGACGAAGUAAAUUGAAGUUGACCAAAUAGCAUAAACAAGUUACAACUUGUACAAUAUGCUUAUGCAAGUUACAAUUUGUAUACUAUGAAUUAAGAUGAAUUAAAUACUACUCUUUAGUUCCCGAUACCAUUACAACAGAACCUAUUAUAACAAGAUCAUAUAUACAUUAGUAAUUUAAGCUCAAUGAAUCCAAAAAUAAAAACACUUCUUUCGUUUCUAGGAAAGGGUUGCGAUCCUGGAAACUACAAGGUUAUCCGGCAUCAUAUCCAUCAGCAUUAAUUAUUGAAUGGCAAUGAUAAAAAUAACAUAUAACGAAUGAAAGGUUGAGUGAUUAAAUAAGAAAACAAUCUUUCGAAAUAUUUGGAUCAAUUUGGGAAAUUAAUAAUGAGAUUAAUUUGAUUCUAUAUCAUUUCCAUAGAAAUUUUAACACCCGUGAAGACCUAAUGACUGAAUUUCAUUCAUAGUACGAGCUAUGAGCAUCUAAAAUUCAGCUCUGAUUUUCUGCCAAACAUUCAUCUCAAAGUGCAUUCCGAUUUUAGCAAGACUUUACUCAUAAACUAUAAAACUAAAUAUAACUAUAAUUGAUGUAUCUGAAUCAAAGUAUAUAUGAGUUACUGUAUUUAUACUUUCAACAAUUAUAUGAGAAACAAGUAUUGAGUAAUAAUGUCAUCCUAAUCUGGAUCAUCGAUCCUUUUUUUUAAACGUUGAUAGCAUCCGUCUUCCCAGCUGUCAAAAUUAGUUUAACCAUAAAUACAAUUAAUAACAUUUCAUAUAUGAUAUUUUUGUUCUAGUAACGAUUGUUUCGAGCAUUAAUAGAGACUUGAAGAUAACUUUCCGAAUAAAAAUAUCAAGAUUA
rnacentral:lncRNA from 1 species